rnacentral:rRNA from 1 species
CUGAAGCUCGACCGUAAGGACGGGUGGACUGUAUGGAAGUGAGUAUGGCGGCAUGAGUAACGAUAAAACAGGUGAGAAACCUGUUCGCCGAAAAUCCAAGGGUUCCUGAGGAAGGGUAAUCCACUCAGGGUGAGUCGGUCCCUAAGGCGAGGCCGAAAGGCGUAGCUGAUGGGAAACGGGUUAAUAUUCCCGUACCACUUGAAUUGCGUUAUCAGCGAUGGGGUAACGUAGGAGGGUAGUCUAUCCGGGUGUUGGAUGUCCCGGUUCAAGCAAGUAGGAGGGUGGUCUUGGCAAAUCCGGACCACCAUUCAACUCCGAGAUGUGAUGGGGAGCUUCUCCUUCGGGACAAGCGAACUAGAUGAUCCCAUACUACCGAGAAAAACCUCUAGUGAGUGAUUCAGGUGACCGUACCCUAAACCAACACAGGUGGAUAAGGAGAGAAUCCUAAGGCGCUUGAGAAAACUCUGGUUAAGGAACUCGGCAAAUUAACUCCGUAACUUCGGGAUAAGGAGUGCCCUCAUUAGGUGAAAGAACUUGCUUCUGGAGCCGAGGAGGGUUGCAGUGACCAGGUAGCCGCGACUGUUUACUAAAAACACAGGACUCUGCUAAGUCGUAAGACGACGUAUAGGGUCUGACGCCUGCCCGGUGCCGGAAGGUUAAAAGGAGGGGUUAGCCCUCGGGCGAAGCUCCGAAUUGAAGCCCCGGUAAACGGCGGCCGUAACUAUAACGGUCCUAAGGUAGCGAAAUUCCUUGUCGGGUAAGUUCCGACCUGCACGAAUGGCGUAACGAUGGCUACACUGUCUCAACCAGAGACUCAGUGAAAUUGACAUACCGGUGAAGAUGCCGGUUUCCCGCGAAAGGACGGAAAGACCCCGUGCACCUUUACUACAACUUGAUAUUGGGUAUUGGUUUAGUAUGUGUAGGAUAGGUGGGAGACUUUGAAACUCCGGCGCUAGCCGGGGUGGAGUCAAUCUUGAAAUACCACCCUUAUUACACUGAUAUUCUAACCUCGGUUCCGUGAAUCCGGGCCAGGGACAAUGUCAGGUGGGUAGUUUGACUGGGGCGGUCGCCUCCUAAAAUGUAACGGAGGCGCGCGAAGGUUCCCUCAGGCUGAUUGGAAACCAGCCGACGAGUGCAAAGGCAUAAGGGAGCUUGACUGCAAGACAUACAGGUCGAGCAGGUGCGAAAGCAGGUCUUAGUGAUCCGGUGGUUCCAUGUGGAAGGGCCAUCGCUCAACGGAUAAAAGGUACGCCGGGGAUAACAGGCUUAUCGCCUCCAAGAGUCCAUAUCGACGAGGCGGUUUGGCACCUCGAUGUCGGCUCACCGCAUCCUGGGGCUGAAGCAGGUCCCAAGGGUUGGUCUGUUCGCCCAUUAAAGCGGUACGCGAGCUGGGUUUAGAACGUCGUGAGACAGUUCGGUCCCUAUCCUUCGUGGGUGUUGGAAAUUUGAGGAGAUCUGCUCCUAGUACGAGAGGACCGGAGUGGACGAACCUCUGGUUUUCCGGUUGUGAUGCCAAUUGCAUCGCCGGGUAGCUAUGUUCGGAAAGGAUAACCGCUGAAAGCAUCUAAGCGGGAAGCCAACUCCAAAACUAGAUUUCCCUUCCUCCUUCGGGAGGACCGUAGACCCCUUGUAGACUACAAGGUUGAUAGGCCAGAUGUGUAAGCACAGCAAUGUGUUCAGCUAACUGGUACUAAUUGGUCGCGAGGCUUGAUC